GACGUAGGGCGCAAGCGUUGUCCGGAUUUAUUGGGCGUAAAGAGCUCGUAGGCGGUCUGUCGCGUCUGCUGUGAAAACUCGGGGCUUAACCCCGGGCCUGCAGUGGGUACGGGCAGACUAGAGUGCGGUAGGGGAGACUGGAAUUCCUGGUGUAGCGGUGAAAUGCGCAGAUAUCAGGAGGAACACCAACGGCGAAGGCAGCACUCUGGGCCGGUACUGACGCUGAGGAGCGAAAGCGUGGGGAGCAAACAGG
rnacentral:rRNA from 1 species